GCCCGGGUGGCGGAACUGGCAUACGCACGGUGCUUAAACCACCGGGCCCGAAAGGGAUUGCGGGUUCGAGCCCCGCCCCGGGCA
rnacentral:tRNA from 1 species